rnacentral:lncRNA from 1 species
AUAAGCUUGUACUUGGAUCAGAUGUGAAGCUUCUAUGCAAGCUGUAUGUACUUGUUGCUGAGUUCUUAUUGGUCUAGAUUAACUUCUUUAAUGAUGUUCUAGGAGAACAUAAAGCCUUGUUGCAAGAUGUGAAGUUAUUAUUCCUUAAAGAAGCUUAUUCGAGUAAGCUCAAGAACCAAAAUUAAUUCCUUGCCUUAAAUGACUUAUUUGCACUGUUAUGAUCCUUUAAUAAGUCCAACUUAAAAGUUCUUUCUUGUCU